rnacentral:rRNA from 1 species
AGUGAACGCUGGCGGUAGGCCUAACACAUGCAAGUCGAACGGCAGCACAGUAAGAGCUUGCUCUUACGGGUGGCGAGUGGCGGACGGGUGAGGAAUACAUCGGAAUCUACUUUUUCGUGGGGGAUAACGUAGGGAAACUUACGCUAAUACCGCAUACGACCUACGGGUGAAAGCAGGGGAUCUUCGGACCUUGCGCGUUUGAAUGAGCCGAUGUCGGAUUAGCUAGUUGGCGGGGUAAAGGCCCACCAAGGCGACGAUCCGUAGCUGGUCUGAGAGGAUGAUCAGCCACACUGGAACUGAGAAACGGUCCAGACUCCUACGGGAGGCAGCAGUGGGGAAUAUUGGACAAUGGGCGCAAGCCUGAUCCAGCCAUACCGCGUGGGUGAAGAAGGCCUUCGGGUUGUAAAGCCCUUUUGUUGGGAAAGAAAAGCAGCAGGUUAAUACCCCGCUGUUCUGACGGUACCCAAAGAAUAAGCACCGGCUAACUUCGUG